GAUGAACGCUAGCGNNGGCUUAAUACAUGNNNUUCGUGGGGCAGCAGGUUUGUAGCAAUACAGAUGCUGGNGACCGGCAAACGGGUGCGGAACACGUACAGAACCUUCCUUUGAGCGGGGAAUAGCCCAGAGAAAUUUGGAUUAAUACCCCAUAGUAUAAUGAAGUGACUUCACUUUAUUAUUAAAGAUUUAUCACUCGUAGAUGGCUGUGCGGNUGAUUAGGUAGUUGGNGGGGUAAAGGCCCACCAAGCCUGCGAUCAGUAACUGGUGUGAGAGCACGACCAGUCACACGGGCACUGAGACACGGGCCCGACUCCUACGGGAGGCAGCAGUAAGGAAUAUUGGUCAAUGGAGGCAACUCUGAACCAGCCAUGCCGCGUGGAGGAUGAAGGUCCUCUGGAUUGUAANCUUCUUUUAUAUGGGACGAAAAAAGGCUUUUCUAAGUCGNCUGACGGUACCAUAUGAAUAAGCACCGGCUAACUCCGUGCCAGCAGCCGCGGNAAUACGGAGGNNGCAAGCGUCAUCNNGAUUCACUGGGUUUGAAGGGUGCGUAGNNGGGGUGNUAAGUCAGUGGUGAAAUCGCNGAGCUUGACUUGGGAACUGCCAUUGAUACUAUCAGUCUUGAAUACCGUGGAGGUCGGNGGAAUAUGUCAUGUAGCGGUGAAAUGCUUAGAUAUGACAUAGAACACCANUUGCGAAGGCAGCUGGCUACGCGGAUAUUGACACUGAGGCAAGAAAGCGUGGGGAUCAAACAGGACUAGAUACCCUGGUAGUCCACGCCCUAAACUAUGGAUACUCGACAUUUGCGAUAAACUGUAAGUGUCUGAGCGAAAGCAUUAAGUAUCCCNCNWGGGAAGUACGAUCGCAAGAUUGAAACUCAAAGGAUUUGCCGGAGGUCCGCACAANCGNUNGCGCAUGUGGUNUAAUUNGAUGAUACGCGAGGAACCUUACCUGGGCUAGAAUGCUGGGAGACUGUGAGUGAAAGCUCAUUUCGUAGCAAUACNCNGCCAGUAAGGUGCUGCAUGGCCGUCGUCAGCUCGUCCCGNGAGGUGUUGGGUUAAGUCCCACAACGAGCGCAUCCCCCAUCACUAGUUGCCAUCAGGUAACGCUGGGAACUCUAGUGAACCUGCCGUCGUAAGACGUGAGGAAGGAGGGGAUGAUGUCAAGUCAUCAUGGCCUUUAUGCCCAGGGCUACACACGUGCUACAAUGGGGCGUACAAAGGGCUGCAACAUAGCGAUAUGAAGCUAAUCCCAAAAAACGCCUCUCAGUUCAGAUUNGAGUCUGCAACUCGACUCCAUGAAGCUGGAAUCGCUAGUAAUCGUAUAUCAGCAAUGAUACGGUGAAUUCGUUCCCGGCCCUUGCACACNCCGCCCNAAAAGCCAUGNNAGCCGGGUGUACCUAAAGUCCGUNNCCNUNNNNGNNCCCUAGGGCUAAAACUGGUACUGGGCU
rnacentral:rRNA from 1 species